UGGAUUUAGCCAGUCAGUCGCUUUUACUCUGACUCACGACAGCUCUUCCCAACGGAACUUCUGACGUUAGCUUUCACUAAAAUCUUCGACGGUAGCUUUUUUUUCACAAGUAGCAUUAAUUUGCUCAUCGGAGUAGGUAGCUUUUUCCAUUUGCACUAAAUUCUUAAUUAGUGUGGUAGCUCUCACUCUAUCUCUCGAGGCAGCUUUUUUCUCAUGAUUAGCUCUUCACUCAUCGAAGUAGGUAGCUUUUUCCGUACGCGCUUCGUGUGUAGCUUUUAGUCAUCUGAGUCAGGUUGCUUUUCUUUCUGUCAAAGGCCUCUAAAUUAUAUUUUCAUGGUUAAAUCUAAUAACGUGGAUUUAGCUUUUUUUCACUAUGACUCACGGCAGCUCUUUCGCACGGAGCUUCUGACGGUAGCUUUCACUCUAUCUUUGACGGUAGCUUUUUUUCACAAGUAGCAUUCACUCAUCAGAGUAGGUAGCUUUUUCCAUUUUCACUAAAUUCUUAAUUAGUGUGGUAGCUCUCACUCUAUCUCUCGAGGCAGCUUUUUCUCAUGACUAGCUUUUCACUCAUCAAAGUAGGUAGCUUUUUCCGUACACACUUCGUGGGUAGCUUUCACUCAUUUGAGCCAGGCAGCUUUUUCUGUCAAAGGCCUCCAAAUUAUACCUUCAUGGUUGAAUCUAUUUUCAAAACGAGAUAUACAACAUGCACAAUUUAAGUUCACCCAAACCUAAUAACUUCAUAAUCGACCAAUCAGCCAAAGUGCAAUGGAUGGUGAUUAAUCAUAACGUGGAUUUAGCCGGUCAGUAGCUUUCACUCACGAAAGCUCUUUCCAACGGAGCUUCUGAUGUUAGCUUUCACUCUAUCUUUGACGGUAGCUUUUUUUCAUAAGUAGCAUUAAUUCACUCAUCGGAGUAGGUAGCUUUUUCCAUUUGCACUAAAUUCUUAAUUAGUGUGGUAGCUCUCACUCUAUCUCUCGAGGCAGCUUUUUCUCAUGAUUAGCACUUCACUCGUCAAAGUAGGUAGCUUUUUCCAUACGCGCUUCGUAGGUAGCUUUAAGUCAUCUGAGUCAGGUUGCUUUUCUUUCUGUCAAAGGCCUCUAAAUUAUAUUUUCAUGGUUAAGUCUAAUAACGUGGAUUGAGCCAGUCAGUAGCUUUCACUCUGACUCACGGUAGCUCUUUCGCACGAAGCUUCUGACGGUAGCUUUCACUCUAUCUUUGACGGUAG
rnacentral:lncRNA from 1 species